rnacentral:snoRNA from 1 species
UGCGGUGAUGACUCUCUUAGGACACCUUUGGACACCCAUGAAAAAAAAAAAAAAAGUGAUUUCUGAGCAAC